GUGAUGAGUCGCCCCACCGCGGCGCCGAAAGGUGACGAGGAAAGUCCGGGCAACACAGAGCACCCUGCUUCCUAACGGGAAGGACUGGUGCGCGUAAAGCAAUCCAGGACAGCCAGUGCCACAGAAAACUACCGCCAGGCGGUGAGUGUGUGAUGGAUGGAUGAGCGAGUUACAUCACUCAUUCAUUAUUUCGCUCAGUCACUUCUGGUAAGGGUGAAAAGGUGCGGUAAGAGCGCACCAGCGGCUGGGCAACCAUGCCGGCUGGGUAAACCUCAGGGGUUGAAAGACCAAAUAAGCUGGCACGCGGGUCUUUUGGGGCCCGCACCGGGCGGCUCGUUCGGCGUCAGCGGGUAGGUUGAUGGAGCCUUUCCGUGAGGACUGGCCUAGAUAAAUGGUGGGGCCGUUUCUGCUUGCAGAAGCGGACAAAACCCGGCUUAUAGACUCAUCACCUGA
rnacentral:RNase_P_RNA from 1 species